GUGGGGAAUAUUGGACAAUGGGCGAAAGCCUGAUCCAGCCAUGCCGCGUGUGUGAAGAAGGUCUUCGGAUUGUAAAGCACUUUACGUUGGGAGGAAGGGUAGUAACCUAAUACGUUGCUACUUUGACGUUACCGACAGAAUAAGCACCGGCUAACUUCGUGCCAGCAGCCGCGGUAAUACGAAGGGUGCAAGCGUUAAUCGGAAUUACUGGGCGUAAAGCGCUCGUAGGUGGUUCAGUAAGUUGGAAGUGAAAUCCCCGGGCUCAACCUGGGAAAUGCUUUCAAAACUGCUGAGCUAGAGUACGGUAGAGGGUGGUGGAAUUUCCUGUGUAGCGGUGAAAUGCGUAGAUAUAGGAAGGAGCACCAGUGGCGAAGGCGACCACCUGGACUGAUACUGACACUGAGGUGCGAAAGCGUGGGGAGCAAACAGGAUUAGAAACCCUUGUAGUCC
rnacentral:rRNA from 1 species